GAAGGUUUUCUGAUGAAUAUGAACCAAUGGGUUCAAGAAAUUAUAUGAGAGGAAGGAGAAGAAACGAGUCCUUUCGAAGUUACAGCUCUGAGUUCAAUCGAGAAUUGCAAAGGACUGGGUCGUCAGAUAAAGCCAGGGCCUACCCUGAUGUGAAUGGUCAAGAUGAAGCUUUCCCACGUGAUAGAGAUGAACAGCAAGUGGUUAAAGACAGUAAUGGGAUGUUACCUAGUUCCCUUCCUGGUAAACAAAAUCCAGAUAUAGAGAGUGUGGAGGAGUCUAUAUGCUGUGAUCCAAAACCUGUCCUGGGAGAUUCUGGUAAAGAGACAGGUCCCAUCAACACUGGAAAUGAUCUCCCAUCAGAUGGUGAACCUGAACCAAAGAAGUCUGUAGACAUUGGAAUGUUGGAAGAAGAAGCUGAUCCUAUUAAUCAUGCCCACAGUACUGAUAAGUUGGAGAAAAUAGGUGUUAACGAGGAUACAGAAGUCAAGUUGUUCAGCCAAGAACAUAACCAGACCAGCAUGACUGAUAAUGAUUUACUUAGCUUAUGCAGGUUUGAGAAAGUUCCGACAAGAACACGUUCU
rnacentral:misc_RNA from 1 species